UCAUAAAGUAUUAAACCGAACUGUUUUCCUUAUAGACACAAUUUAUUUUUACACACACACACACACACACACACACACACACACACACAUAUGUAAAUAACAAUGUUAAAAUAGUA
ensembl:miRNA Mir1187 microRNA 1187